GCAGUGGUGAUUCAGUGGUAGAAUUCUCACUUUCCAUGUAGGAGACACGGGUUCAAUUCCUGGCCAAUGCA
rnacentral:tRNA from 1 species